rfam:Brevundimonas abyssalis TAR-001 DNA, contig: BAB035.
CGGAGAUCGGUGCGGGCGGAGGCUUCGCCAACCUGGUCAGGGCCGGAAGGCAGCAGCCACAACGAAUUCACCUUCGGGUCGUGUCGGUCUCCACCU